AUUGAACGCUGGCGGCAGGCCUAACACAUGCAAGUCGAGCGGAGCUGCGGACGGGUGAGUAAUGCCUAGGUAUCGGCCUGGUAGUGAGGGAUAAGGUCCGGAACCGGGCGCUAAUCCCGCAUAAUAUCAGCUGAGCCUAGGUCGGAUUAGCUAGUUGGUGGGGUAAAGUCCUACCAAGGCGACGAUCCGUAACUGAUCUGAGAGGAUGAUCAGUCACACUGGAACGGAGACACGGUCCAGACUCCUACGGGAGGCAGCAGGAGGGAAUAUUGGACAAUGGGCGAAAGCCUGAUCGAGCAAUGCCGCGUGUGUGAAGAAGGUCUUCGGAUUGUAAAGCACUUUAAUAUGGGAGGCGUUACCAACAGAGUAAGCACCGGCUAACUACGUGCCAGCCGCCGCGGUAAUAC
rnacentral:rRNA from 1 species